rnacentral:rRNA from 1 species
CGUUCCCGGGCCUUGUACACACCGCCCGUCACACCACGAAAGUUGGUAACACCCGAAGCCGGUGGCCCAACCCCUUGGGGAGGGAGCCGUCGAAGGUGGGAUCAGCGAUUGGAGGUG